GAAACUAACAAGGAUUCCCCUAGUAGCGGCGAGCGAACCGGGAGAAGCCCAGCUUGAAAAUCGCGCCGUUUUUCGCGGCGCGAGUUGUAGUCUGGAGAAGCGUCCUCUGUUGCGGACUCGGCCCAAGUCCCCUGGAAAGGGGCGUCAGAGAGGGUGAGAACCCCGUCGGGCUGAGACCCUGCAGCUCCACGAGGCGCUGUCGACGAGUCGGGCUGUUUGGGAAUGCAGCCCUAAGCGGGAGGUAAAUUCCUUCCAAGGCUAAAUACUGGCGAGAGACCGAUAGCGAACAAGUACCGCGAGGGAAAGAUGAAAAGGACUUUGAAAAGAGAGUUAAAAAGUGCUUGAAAUUGCUGGGAGGGAAGCGAAUGGAGGCCUCGUGUGCGCCCCGGUCGGAUGCGGAACGGCGCAAGCUGGUCCGCCGCUCGACGCGGGGUGCUGGUCAGCGUGGGCUGGUUCGGCGGGACAAAAGUCGGGCUUCAGUGCCCGGCCGAUGCCGUCGAGUCGGCCGAGGAAUCGAAGCGCGCGUCCCUCGGGACGGGGCCUGCGGGUCACCUGCGCGCUCGAGACGUUGGCGUAGUGGGCUUUUCAUCCGACCCGUCUUGAAACACGGACCAAGGAGUCUAACAUGCAUGCGAGCCGGUGGGCGGCAAACCCACUUGAGGCGCAAAUAACUUAACUGGUGUGAUCCUCCUUUGCGGGGUGCAACAUCGACCGACCAUGAGCUUCUGCGAAAGGUUCGAGUAAGAGCAUGCCUGUUGGGACCCGAAAGAUGGUGAACUAUGCCUGAGCAGGGCGAAGUCAGAGGAAACUCUGGUGGAGGCUCGUAGCGAUACUGACGUGCAAAUCGUUCGUCAGACUCGGGUAUAGGGGCGAAAGACUAAUCGAACCAUCUAGUAGCUGGUUCCCUCCGAAGUUUCCCUCAGGAUAGCUGGAGCACGUUUCAGGAGUUUCAUCAGGUAAAGCGAAUGAUUAGAGGCAUCGGGGGUGAAACACCCUCGACCUAUUCUCAAACUUUAAAUAGGUGAGAUCCGUUGGGGUUGCUUGAAUGAACCCCCGGCGGAG
rnacentral:rRNA from 1 species